rnacentral:tRNA from 1 species
AGAGACUGUGGCUCAGUCGUAGAGCAUCUGCUUGGCAUGCGGGAAGUCCCAGGUUCAAUCCCCGGCAUCUCCA